rnacentral:rRNA from 1 species
UUGGAGGGCAAGUCUGGUGCCAGCAGCCGCGGUAAUUCCAGCUCCAAUAGCGUAUAUUAAAGUUGUUGCAGUUAAAAAGCUCGUAGUUGAAUUUCGGGAUUGACGUGAUGGUCAUGCCUUAAGGGGUAUGAACUGUUACUGUUGAUUUCUCACCUUCUGGAGAAACUUGAUGUCCUUUAUUGGGUGUCUUGCGGAUCCAGGACCUUUACCUUGAAAAAAUUAGAGUGUUUAAAGCAGGCAUUUUUGCUCGAAUACAUUAGCAUGGAAUAAUAGAAUAGGACGGCAUGGUUCUAUUUUGUUGGUUUCUAGGAUCACCGUAAUGAUUAAUAGGGAUAGUUGGGGGCACUAGUAUUCAAUUGUCAGAGGUGAAAUUCUUGGAUUUAUUGAAGACUAACUACUGCGAAAGCAUUUGCCAAGGAUGUUUUCAUUAAUCAAGAACGAAAGUUAGGGGAUCGAAGACGAUCAGAUACCGUCGUAGUCUUAACCAUAAACUAUGCCGACUAGGAAUCAGACGAUGUUAAUUUUUUAAUGACUCGUUUGGCACCUUACGGGAAACCAAAG